AGAGUUUGAUCCUGGCUCAGGACGAACGCUGGCGGCGUGCUUAACACAUGCAAGUCGAACGAGGCUUUGGAAGCUUGCUUUUAAAGCCGAGUGGCAAACGGGUGAGUAACGCGUAAACAACCUGCCUUCAGGAUGGGGACAACAGACGGAAACGACUGCUAAUACCGAAUACCUUCCAAUGGCCGCAUGACCGAUGGAAGAAAGGGUGGCCUCUACCUGUAAGCUAUCGCCUGAAGAGGGGUUUGCGUCUGAUUAGGCAGUUGGCGGGGUAACGGCCCACCAAACCGACGAUCAGUAGCCGGUCUGAGAGGAUGAACGGCCACACUGGAACUGAGACACGGUCCAGACUCCUACGGGAGGCAGCAGUGGGGAAUCUUCCGCAAUGGACGAAAGUCUGACGGAGCAACGCCGCGUGAGUGAAGACGGCCUUCGGGUUGUAAAGCUCUUUGAUCCGGGACGAACGGCAGGACAGCUAAUACCUGUUCUGAAUGACGGUACCGGAAGAACAAGCCACGGCUAACUACGUGCCAGCAGCCGCGGUAAUACGUAGGUGGCAAGCGUUGUCCGGAAUUAUUGGGCGUAAAGCGCGCGCAGGCGGCUUUUUAAGUCCAUCUUAAAAGCGUGGGGCUCAACCCCAUGAUGGGAUGGAAACUGGAGAGCUGGAGUAUCGGAGAGGAAAGCGGAAUUCCUAGUGUAGCGGUGAAAUGCGUAGAGAUUAGGAAGAACACCGGUGGCGAAGGCGGCUUUCUGGACGACAACUGACGCUGAGGCGCGAAAGCGUGGGGAGCAAACAGGAUUAGAUACCCUGGUAGUCCACGC
rnacentral:rRNA from 1 species